CUCAGUUGGUACUGUGACUUGUGGGCUUCCCUUUGUCAUCCUUUGCCUAGGGUUAUGAGUAGGGCAGGGACAGCAAAGGGGUGCCCACACAUCACUGUCACA
rnacentral:pre_miRNA from 12 species